rnacentral:rRNA from 1 species
UACGAAGGGGGCGAGCGUUGUUCGGAAUUACUGGGCGUAAAGGGCGCGCAGGCGGCUCUGAAAGUCAGAUGUGAAAGCCCCGGGCUUAACCUGGGAACUGCAUUUGAUACUCUAGAGCUUGAGUACGGGAGAGGAGAGUGGAAUUCCCAGUGAGAGGUGAAAUUCGUAGAUAUUAGGAAGAACACCAGUGGCGAAGGCGGCUCACUGGUCCGGUACUGACGCUGAGGUGCGAAAGCGUGGGGAGCAAACAGGG